rnacentral:rRNA from 1 species
CCUACGGGAGGCAGCAGUGGGGAAUAUUGCACAAUGGGGGAAACCCUGAUCCAGCGACGCCGCGUGAGUGAAGAAGUAAUUCGUUAUGUAAAGCUCUAUCAGCAGGGAAGAAAAUGACGGUACCUGAGUAAGAAGCCCCGGCUAAAUACGUGCCAGCAACCGCGGUCAUACGUAGGGGGCACGCGUUAUUCGGAUUUAUUGGGUGUAAAGGGAGCUUAGACGGCAGUGCAAGUCUGGAGUGAAAGGCGGGGGCUCAACCCCCGGACUGCUCUGGAAACUGUACGGCUGGAGUGCAGGAGAGGUAAGUGGAAUUCCUAGUGUAGCGGUGAAAUGCGUAGAUAUUAGGAGGAACACCAGUGGCGAAGGCGGCUUACUGGACUGUAACUGACGUUGAGGCUCGAAAGCGUGGGGAGCAAACAGGAUUAGAUACCCUUGUAGUC